UACAGAGGUCUCAAGCGUUGUUCGGAUUCAUUGGGCGUAAAGGGUGCGUAGGUGGCGCCGUAAGUCAGGUGUGAAAUCUCGGGGCUUAACUCCGAAACUGCAUUCGAUACUGCCGUGCUUGAGGACUGGAGAGGAGACUGGAAUUUACGGUGUAGCGGUGAAAUGCGUAGAUAUCGUAAGGAAGACCAGUGGCGAAGGCGGGUCUCUGGACAGUUCCUGACGCUGAGGCACGAAGGCCAGGGGAGCAAACGGG
rnacentral:rRNA from 1 species